GUGAACGCUGGCGGUAGGCCUAACACGUGCAAGUCGAACGGCAGCAAAGUAAGAGAUUGCUCUUACGGGUGGCGAGUGGCGGACGGGUGAGGAAUACAUCGGAAUCUACUUUUUCGUGGGGGAUAACGUAGGGAAACUUACGCUAAUACCGAAUACGACCUACGGGUGAAAGCAGGGGAUCUUCGGAACUUGCGCGAUUGAAUGAGCCGAUGUCGGAUUAGCUAGUUGGCGGGGUAAAGGCCCACCAAGGCGACGAUCCGUAGCUGGUAUGAGAGGAUGAGCAGCCACACUGGAACUGAAGCACGAUCCAGACUCCAACGGAAGGCAGCAGUGGGGAAUAUUGAACAAGGGGCGCAAUCCUAAUCCAGCCAUACCGCGUGAGUGAAGAAGGCCUUCGGGUUGUAAAGCCCUUUUGUUGGGAAAGAAAAGCAGCAGAUUAAUACCCCGCUGUUCUUACGGUACCCAAAGAAUAAGCACCGGCUAACUUCGUG
rnacentral:rRNA from 1 species